rnacentral:rRNA from 1 species
AUGUGGACUCAUCUUCGUCAGCGUUAUCAGCCCUCUGGUGAUGCUCUCUACUUGUCUGUGGUCCGUCAGGAGCAUGCUCUUUAGCAGGGAGACUCCACUAUUGAUGAGUUCUACACUCAGAGUUCUGCUAUCUGGCGCCAACUUGACUCCCUUCGCACUACUGUUUGUGGCACUUGCCCGUGUUGCCAGACUGUGAGGUCAGACUUGGAGUUUCAGCGCGUCUAUGAGUUCUUGUCACGACUCCGUGGGGAGUUUGAGCCUCGACGUGCUCAGUUGUUUGCUCGUGGCCGUGUUCCUAUUUCUGAGGUGCUUUUUGAGCUCUUUGCUGAGGAGACUCGCCUCCGUGGUGCUGGUUUGCUUCAGGUUCCCUCUAUGCUCGCUGCUCGAGUUGCUACUCCACCAGUGCCUUCUUGCUCCAGUGCUCCGCCGCUACUGCCCACUCCUCCGGGUAGCCGCUCUCGUCCUCUUACUCAUUGUGACUACUGCAACAAGGAUGGUCACCCCGAGUUUGAUUGCUUCAAGAACAAGCGUGAUAUGCGUAAUAGGGGGCGCAAUUCUUCUUCCGGGGCUCGUGCUUCUUCCUCGACACCGUCUACUGUCUCCUUGACUGAGCAACAUAUUGUGAAGCUCAAACGUCUACUUGCUGCUUCAGGUUCUUCGACAGGUACUACAGGCUCUGUGACUAGUGCUUCUAGUGCUGAGCGACCAUUGUCUACACAGUCAGGUACAUCCCCAUGGGUUCUGGAUUCUGGAGCUUCAUUUCAUAUGUCCUCCGAUUCUUCUAUCUUGUCCUCUCGUAGAUCUCUCGAUUUUCCUAUUAACGUUCUUACUGUUGAUGGUACUCCUCUUCCUGUUGCGAGUCGCACUCUUGCCACCUCUUCCUUUUAUGUUCCAGAUGUUUCUCAUGUGCCUCGCCUUACCAUGAACCUAUUUUCUGCGGGUCAGCUUACUGAUUCUGGUUGUCGUGUCAUUCUUGACGUUGAUUCUUGCACUAUCCAGGAUCGCCACACGAAGGCUCUAGUUGGGGUUGGCCCGCGCCACCAUGAUUCUCAGGGGCUUUCGGAGUUGGACUGGCUUAAUGUUCCAGUCCAUCUGCCUCCGUCGCUUCAGCUACCAACUGCUUCCAGCAGUGGCAUCAUCAACUUGGUCACCUUUGUGGUUCUCGACUAUCGUGUUUAG